UAUAUAUAUAUAUAUAUCCCCAGAUUUAAAAAUAUAUAUAUAUGCGGAUUUACCCGUCCAUGUAGAAUUAGGGAAUUACGUGGCCCUAAAAUUUGCUGGCAUAUCGGUCAAAUCGGUCAAACCCAUCUAAAUUUAUUAGAAAUGGAAUGGUCAAAUGCCGAUUUGCCGCAAGAAUCUAAAUUAAAUGUCUCGUUGGCCAUCGAACUUUUCGUAGAGAGAAAUGCAAUUCAAUUAUUCUAGCCCACAACAAAUAGUCAAAUCUGAGGCAUAUAAAUACAGGGCCUAACUCCUAGGAUUGCAAAUCUCCCUUCUAGAUCGUUUAGUCUGCAGCACAGUUUCUGAUGCUAAGGAUCCUCAAAAAAGGCAAUAGCAGAGCAUAUUUUUGUUACUACUCAAAUUGCUGGUUUUACAUGACUGAUAAAACUAAUAUUAGUACUCCGGAUUCCAAUGAGAAAUAAGAGAAAUUAGAAACUCAUGAUCUAAAGGAACUCAAGGAUUUAUUUUCUGAAAAUAUUUCGAUG
rnacentral:lncRNA from 1 species